rnacentral:rRNA from 1 species
UACGUAGGGGGCAAGCGUUGUCCGGAAUCAUUGGGCGUAAAGCGCGUGUAGGCGGCCCGGUAAGUCCGCUGUGAAAGUCGGGGGCUCAACCCCGUCGGAUGCCGGUGGAUACUGUCGGGCUUGAGUACGGAAGAGGCGAGUGGAAUUCCUGGUGUAGCGGUGAAAUGCGCAGAUAUCAGGAGGAACACCAAUUGCGAAGGCAGCUCGCUGGGACGUUACUGACGCUGAGACGCGAAAGCGUGGGGAGCAAACAGG